UGCAGCUAGCAUAUAAUUAAAUAAUUGGCGUUCGCUUAUUAUGAUUGAAAAUAAUAUUUGACAAUUAAGUUAGAAUACUAUUAUUUUUAAAAUAUAUAUAUAUAUGUAUCGACUUAAUCGUCAAUCGGUUUCAAAAUCCGAGGAAGUCAAAAAGCAGAGAAACCGAAGAGUAUAGAACUUUAUUUGGGAUUUGAGAGUCGAAGUAUAAGACGCUAAACCAUAUGAAUGUUCGUAUGAAAAUGGGACGUACCAUAUGUACACACUGAAUUUAAAAUUAAGUGGUAUAUCUGAGUGAAUAAUAUAAGCUAGUACGAGCCAAUCAGAAACCACGAGUGUCUAUUAACGAUUCCAAAGACGUAUAUAAAAUUUCACAUAAUUAUAAAUAUUCGCUGAAGACACCGUAGGUCGAUCGAUUCUGAAGAAUUUAUUACGUGUAUGUGCUGAAAAUGUUAUAACUCGAAAAAAAGGAUCAUUCUCAAGAAAUCACUUACGAAGAUGCCAUGCUGGCAGCUUGUGACUAUCGAGUCUUCUAUUCACAGCUGAUGUUAAUUUACAAGUGACAAGUCGUAUUCGUAAUACUAUGUCAUAUCAAUAAACUAAUAUAUAUAUAUUCGGUUUAUUUUUGCGUAACAGAUGCAUAAUCGUAAAGAUUUUCACGAUUAUUUUAAUAACGG